rnacentral:rRNA from 1 species
AGUGAACGCUGGCGGUAGGCCUAACACAUGCAAGUCGAACGGCAGCACAGUAAGAGCUUGCUCUUACGGGUGGCGAGUGGCGGACGGGUGAGGAAUACAUCGGAAUCUACUUUUUCGUGGGGGAUAACGUAGGGAAACUUACGCUAAUACCGCAUACGACCUACGGGUGAAAGCAGGGGAUCUUCGGACCUUGCGCGAUUGAAUGAGCCGCUGUCGGAUUAGCUAGUUGGCGGGGUAAAGGCCCACCAAGGCGACGAUCCGUAGCUGGUCUGAGUGGAUGAUCAGCCACACUAGAACUGAGACACGGUCCAGAGUCCUACGGGAGGCAGCAAUGGGGAAUAUUAGACAAUGGGCGCAAGCCUGAUCCAGCCAUACCGCGUGGGUGAAGAAGGCCUUCGGGUUGUAAAGCCCUUUUGUUGGGAAAGAAAAGCAGCAGGUUAAUACCCCGCUGUUCUGACGGUACCCAAAGAAUAAGCACCGGCUAACUUCGUG